rnacentral:rRNA from 1 species
CCUACGGGAGGCAGCAGUGGGGAAUAUUGGGCAAUGGAGGAAACUCUGACCCAGCGACGCCGCGUGCGGGAUGAAGGCCUUCGGGUUGUAAACCGCUUUCAGUAGGGAAGAAGCGAAAGUGACGGUACCUACAGAAGAAGCACCGGCUAACUAUGUGCCAGCAGCCGCGGUAAUACAUAGGGUGCAAGCGUUGUCCGGAAUUAUUGGGCGUAAAGAGCUCGUAGGUGGUUCGUCACGUCGGAUGUGAAAAUCUGGGGCUCAACCCCCAGACCUGCAUUCGAUACGGGCGAUCUAGAGUGUGGUAGGGGAGACUGGAAUUCCUGGUGUAGCGGUGGAAUGCGCAGAUAUCAGGAGGAACACCAAUGGCGAAGGCAGGUCUCUGGGCCAUUACUGACACUGAGGAGCGAAAGCGUGGGGAGCGAACAGGAUUAGAUACCCUGGUAGUCCACGCCGUAAACGGUGGGCACUAGUUGUGGGAACCUUCCACGGUUUCUGCGACGCAGCUAACGCAUUAAGUGCCCCGCCUGGGGAGUACGAUCGCAAGAUUAAAACUCAAAUGAAUUGACGG